GAUACCCUAUUAUUGAAAAUGCAAAUUAUUAUGCCUGAGUAGUAGUAGUUAUGUUCUUGAAAUUCAAAAAAUCUGGCGGUAUUUUAGUCUAUUCAGAGGAACCUGUCCUGUAAUUGAUGAUCCACGAUUAAUUUUACUUAUUUUUAGUUUGUAUAUCGUCGUAGUUUGAAUGUUUUUAAAGAAAUUGUAAUAUUCAAGAUUUAUUUUAAAAUUAAAGGAAAUCAGAUCAAGAUACAGCGUAUAAAUAAGAAGAGAUGGGUUACAAUAAAUUUAUUUAAAUGGUUAAAAUAUUUAAAAUUAUUUUAUAAAGUGGAUUUGAUAGUAAUAUAGUUUAUUUAAAUUAUAUGAUUUUAGCUCUAAAAUAUGUACAUAUCGCCCGUCGCUCCUUCCCUAAAGAUGGAUAAGUC
rnacentral:rRNA from 2 species